GCCAAUGCAGAUAUCCUUCAUCUAAUGAAACCACCAUAACCUGCAGGUCUGAAUACAUCUCCAAAACAAUCAUGCAUCACUUUCAUUAGAUCAGUAAUAAUACAAACAAUGUUUGUAGCCAACGGACACAACUGAAAAUACCAAAUAGGCACAUGUCCAAGUAAAAUAUCCCAAAAACUUCAUAAAACAAAUUAAUUCAACACUUGUGAGCAAGAUGAAUUAAUAUGUUUCUGACACUGAUCUAUGCACCAUACCAGUUACUUUCAUAGUGAUUUCCAACACCUGCGGGCAAGAUGGAAAUCCUCACAAUUGAGGUAGUACAUAAACCAUGUCAUGCCAUUUAAUAUGCAAUUUGAUAACAAUUUGAUAUCUUAUAUAUAUUUUAUCAGAUGAUUGACUAGCACACGAAAAAAUGUGACUUAAUGAAUCCAACUGGAGAUUAAAAUGAAUACAUGGAUUCUAUACAUACCUUAUAGGUCAUCUGCAACUGUAAGGCAUUACUAACACGAAACUCAAACUCCCACUGAUCUGCAACAUCAUUACUUAAUUUGCAAAUCAAUACUUAAAUCAUACUUUUGAAAAUAUGCCUUUGGGAGUAGCCUUACUUAGUCAAUGAAUGCGUAUUACCUCAAUGAAAGGUACAACUAAGCUUGAAAGCAUUCACUGUUGUUACACAAAACAUGUAUCCAACAACCAUCUUAUAUGUAUUAAUAAGUCCACAUUUAUGCUAAGUCCUUAUGAGCCCCAAAAUAAAUGAUCAACCAAGAAAUCCAAAUGAUUGCAAGUAAUAGAAAAUGUACGCAUAUACCAAGUAUCCAUUCGUGCAACUUAAACAUAUUAUAGACAUUCAAGUAACACAAAUUCAUGGAAGAUAGAAUAAUGCUUUAAUAGAUUCAUGCAAGUCCACUUAGUGCUCAAAAUUUUAGAACAACUCCCACUAAGUUUUCAGAGUUUAUACUUGCAAAUAAGUUAAUGAGUGUGAAGCCCAAUUUUCGUUCACUAAUUCUCCCACUUGGGCAAACACUCGUUAAUAUAUUCUUUCAAAGAUGUUCCUAAAGAAAAUUGCUCUAUAUUUUAGACAUAAUAAAAUAGACAUCUCAACCAACAUAAAGUUAUCUAACAGAAUUUCAGCAACGAGUUACACUUACUUUAGAAUUAAUCAUAAUUAAUUUAUAAGCUUGAUUGCUACCAAAUUUAUACUAAUCAAAAUAGACAUACUAAUCUUCAUAAAAUAAAAUUAUAGAGCCGUUUUGGGUCAAAAUAGUAGUCUAAAGUCACGUCUCAAAAAGACCAACACAAUCUGCCAGUAAAACUGUCUAUACGAUCAUGGGUUACUAGUAAAUUCACCAUAAUUAACAUACAUGGCAGAAAAUUACGAAAAUUCGCAGACACAUAGUAGACAUUUAUCUGUUGAACAUAUCCAAAAUUCAGGUCAUUUGGUGACCAUUAGACGUGUCAUUCAUCCGAUUUAAAUCAAGACACGCAAUCUGCCAGAAACAAUUAUGUGCAUCUAUCAUGAAUUUAUGCAUCCAUAACAAAUUCAAUUUCAUAUCAUUUCAAUUUCAAUGUCCAAAGGAAACUUUAGUAGUCAAAUUUCAUCCUCUAAACAGACAUCAUAGUUCAAAUUGAAAACAUUUACAAGCAUAAGACUUAAACAAUGCGUACCUUAGCAAUCCUUGAUUAACCUUCAUGGGUCCAAUACUUUGCAUCAACUAGUCUCGUAAAGAGAUACAAAAUACAUCAUGAUGCAACCGAUUUCCAUGCCUUCAAACCACAACCUUUUAUGGGGCUCAUUGUGGAAAUAUUUGUCCCUAAUGGCAUGGAACUUUAUCCCAUUUAACUUCAUGAAACUAAAUUAAUUUACACCUGUGGGCAAGAAAAUUAACUAGUUUCUAGUACUAGAUUUUAUGUCACAAAAGUUCCUUCAUGAAAAACUUCAACACCUGUAGGCAAGAUGAAGGUUUUCACAACUUCUGUGAAAUAAAACUCAUACUAUGCCAUCUUAAUUAAACUAAAAGAAGUAAUCCACACCUGUAGGCAAGAAGAUUAUCCCUUUUAUUCUAAUUAAGAUGCAAAAUUGACCGAAGUAACUCAAAAACACAGUUUCAUCGACAACUAAGCCGUUGCAGCUUGCUUAGUUGAAAGGGCACAGUUUCAUCGUCAACUAAGCCGUUGCGGCUUGCUUAGUUGAAAGGGCAUUGAUCAACUCCGCCCUGAAACGAUACAAGAAGUCACAUGGAUUAAUUAACUGUAAGUGACAAAAUUAUGAUAACCUGAUUCGAGUUUUGAGUCUUGCCAACAAAUGGCACUAAUUCCUUCAUGACUCCCUUUGACAUUAAAUUAAUCUCAAGAAACCUGACAGCAUACUUGAAAGAGAUUAAUCACAUAUAGAACAAAUUUUAUUCCACCAAAAGAAUGUCAAUACUUAUCAUUAUGGAGUCAAUUGUUUGAAAUAGAAAUACUUUAUGUAAUGCAAAAGAACAAUACAUUCCUUUAAUUUAAAAACUAAAUUGCUCAAAUGUUUUCUUAAGUCAAACGGGUUCCUUUUCUUUUGUACCUUUCUUUCCGUAAUACAAGGCUCCUAAAACAUUAGCAUCAAAAUCGUGCAUUAGCCUUGUAAAUACCAAAUUAAAUAAAGGAACUACCAAAAUUCUUUUCUUCCAAAAGAAACAUCUCCAAUACAUGCCAUACAUUAGCCUUGAUUAAUUUCUUUUCUUCUCCCCUUAUGGCACAUAAAAAUUGAUUGAUUAAAGCAUUGUUUAAAUUCUUUAGGCAUGGGAAAAACUAAUAAACUAUAUACAAGUUUGAAGACUUAUGCUUAUCAAUUUAGUCACAUGCUCUGAAUGAAAUACAUACCUUAUGCCUUCAUAUGUUCACCACUUCUUUAUAAACAUAUUUAUAAUCACAUGACCAACCACAAUUCUCAAAUAAAUAGUUAAAAUACAAAUGAGAAUUGUCACAUAAUUACUACAAACCUUAUUCACUUGUAUUAUACCCUUAUUCUUGUCAUUGGAUGCUUUCUAUCAUUCUCAGUCAAUCCAUAAGUUAUGCAUUAGUCAUGUACAAUUAAAUGACUAUACUGAGAUAGGAAAGCAAAAUUGUAGACAAAACUAAUUUGAUUAGUCAUGCAAAUUCCGCAUGGAGUUAAUAUCAUUAUAAACUGUACUUGAAUUAAUCCCCCAUCAUGCUUAGUAUACUGCAUUACUAAUCAACACAUUUGUGUUAGGACAACCCAAUCCCUUUAAUAAAACAUGCCAUAUGUCCAUUUUAGUUAUUACCCAUGAAAAACAGAGCAAUAGACUUACUAUUGUACUAAUGCCGAAACACCCAGACUAUUUGUACAAAAUAUAGUCUCAAACAAUAAAAUAAUUUAUGCAUUUUUACAUAUGCUUCUCCGCAUGUUUACCAUAUACAUACCAUUUAGAUACUGGUGUCAUGAUAAUUUUACACAUGCAAUGUGAACUUCUAGAUACAUAAUUGGCUUUAGAAAAUUACGUAUACUUAGCUUGAUCAAACAAUUGCUAGCACUUAUGCAAUUGCAAUUCAUGGCAAACAAUAUUAGUCCUUAUUCAAAUGGAUAACAAAGGCAAUAAAGAUUUGGAGUUUAAGAAGUAAUUCCAAAAACCUUAUAAGGUAUGUAAUUAUAUUUUGAGGGGUGCUUAGUGUCCCCUUGUUGCCUUUCCACCCUGGAAGCAGUGACUGGAGCUGCUGGGACCAGCCAAUAGGCUCACUCAUGCAUAUUACUAAUGAAAAGCCACGAACAAGCAAGAUAUAUAUGCACUUUUAUAUGCAUGCAUCUUGGCAUAUCUUAAAAAAUCUACUUUUCCCUCGUUCUGUAUGCCACUUAUAUGCAUAAUUAAUCAUGUUCAAAACAUAUAUUUUCUCUUUGUUUUGAUAACCAAGUUUAAAACUUAAUAGUCAAAACUAACCAUAUGCAUGAUCAACUAAUUAAUUCGCAAUUGACACAUAUAAUGAUCAAUAUUGUUUGCUUUGAUAGGAGACUUUACCGAGCUUGUUGACUUGAGAUGCUUCAUAGUCUUCCUUGGCAAGAUUAGUACAGAAGUACAUAUUUCUAUAUGCUUACAAAAUUGACAACAACGUUAGCCAAAAAGUUGUAUCUACCACUAAAUCAAUUCAACCAAAACAUUGGCAUGAAUAUCGAAAGAAAGCUUAAAGCAUGCCAUCUUCUUCCAGUCAUAAUUAAUUCAGUAAAGAUGAGCAAAGCAAACUGUUCCAAUCUUUCUUUAUGAGAACUAAAUACAAGAAAGGAAGCUUGAAGUGCUUGAAAACCUACCAUUCAACAAUUAUUUGUUUACCAAUUUAUGAGUGAUAUAUCUCAAAAUUCUCCAGUGCAAGGUUAGAACCGACCUCCAUCAGGAUCUCAUAUGCGAUGCAUAUAUGAACCUCCUUAUUUGGCUUUGCUGAUCAACUCAAAUUCUCCGGUGCAUGGUUAGAACAAAAUGACUAUUUCAAUUGAACCAAAACAUUAAUAUGAACAUUGAAAUAGAAAACGUUAAGCACCAUGGUAAUUCCAAUUAUACAAUUCCAUGAAAUAAUGAACCAACUAUUUUAAUCUUCCUUUAUUAUAGUUAAUUCAAUAUCAUCAUUUAGUGCUUCAAUUAGAAAAGCCCACAUUUGGAAUUGAAGGGUGGUGGCAGUGGAAGAAAACUUGAACUCAACUGGCACCACUCGCAGAAACAGAUUAUCCAAUUAUGUAAUUGUUUAAUUUAACUGAUAAUUUCGGUCUCUAAGACCAAAUAGGAAUUGAUGUAAAACAUGUGCCGUGCAUAUCAUACUAAUAUGCCAAGUAUAUACAAUUAUAUGCAGAACCGUACUAUGCAGUUUUCAAGCAGGUCCAACAUGGUGAUGUUGCCGAAUGCAAUCACAAUUUGGAUUUAAAAAACCGCAGUCCAAAAGAAAAGAUAUUAUAUAAUCAAACUUCAAACCUAAUAGGUUUUAAUCAUAUAACCAGUGGCUCUGAUACCAAUUGUUAGCCUUAUAAGGUUAUACAAUUAAAACACAAACGAA
rnacentral:lncRNA from 1 species